rnacentral:rRNA from 1 species
UACGGAGGGUGCAAGCGUUAUCCGGAUUUACUGGGUUUAAAGGGUGCGUAGGCGGGCCCUUAAGUCAGUGGUGAAAGCUCCGAGCUUAACUCGGAAACCGCCAUUGAUACUAUAGGUCUUGAAUUCGGUCGAGGUUGGCGGAAUGUGUCGUGUAGCGGUGAAAUGCUUAGAUAUGACACAGAACACCGAUUGCGAAGGCAGCUAGCUAGACCGACAUUGACGCUGAGGCACGAAAGCGUGGGGAUCAAACAGG